UUUUUAAUAGGGGGAGAUAACUCUCAAAACAUCCAGUUUUCACAUGUGCAGAAUUGCAUGAGUCAAUUAGCAGGUAAUGUAGCUCUUUCAAGAGGUGGAAAAUGUACCCUAAAAGCACACUAAAAGAAAACCUUAGGACUUGUUCUGUGAAAUGCAUACAACUUAUUUUGUCUGAUUUUUUCUGUUUUUGUUGAGCAGGGGGGUUAAAAAUGCAUAGGUGCACUGAAAAUGGAUGCAUAAACAACCCAAUAUCUCCCAUUUUUCAGGUGUCAAAUACCCCCUAGUAGUAAUUGAUGAAUGUAUUAUAGUUGGAUAUUUACAAAAUUCACAAUUUUAUCUUUCCAUUGAUAUGCAGAAGUCUAUGUAACAAUCCUCCAUUUUAUUUUUUUAUAGGGGUCAGUUUUGCUUGUCCCUCACCAAGUAACGUCCUGAUAACGUCAUACAUAAAACUGUGUUUUGCACCCUUAAGGAGUAGCAUUUGAUGACAUUUCCCACAUUUAUUUGCCUGGGUCAGUUUUGCUUGUCCCUCACCAAGUAACGUCCUGAUAACGUCAUACAUAAAACUGUGUUUUGCACCCUUAAGGAGUAGCAUUUGAUGACAUUUCCCACAUUUAUUUGCCUGGGUCAGUUUUGCUUGUCCCUCACCAAGUAACGUCCUGAUAACGUCAUACAUAAAACUGUGUUUUGCACCCUUAAGGAGUAGCAUUUGAUGACAUUUCCCACAUUUAUUUGCCUGUAAGUUCAUAGAAAAUUGCUUUAUUUGUUUUAAUUUAUGUAGUAAACCAUACAAUAUAAUCUCAGGUUGACACUGUGUAAAGCAUAAUGCCUAUUAGAUACAUGUUCCAUAGAAUUUAUACAUAUAAUAAGGAUUCAGGGGUUAAAGUUGUUAUUUUACAUUAUGACGCAACUGCAUUGUGACAUCAAAGUGUGACGUCAUGUCAAAAAUGGAAGCUUCGCAAGGUCAUGACCUUCAGUUUAA